rnacentral:rRNA from 1 species
UACGUAGGGACCAAGCGUUGUUCGGAAUUAUUGGGCGUAAAGAGCUCGUAGGCGGUGUGUCACGUCGGCCGUGAAAACCUGCAGCUUAACUGUGGGCUUGCAGCUGAUACGGGCGGGCUGGAGUUCGGUAGGGGAGACUGGAAUUCCUGGUGUAGCGGUGAAAUGCGCAGAUAUCAGGAGGAACACCGGUGGCGAAGGCGGGUCUCUGGGCCGAUACUGACGCUGAGGAGCGAAAGCGUGGGGAGCGAACAGG